GUUGAGAGAAGGAGAUGGCAUUUUUACAAGUGACAAGUUGGAAAGAGUCCCAAAGAAGGGUCUCAGCCCAAAACAUUGACUGUUUAAUCUUUGCCUGGCCUGCUGAGUUCCUCCGGCAUUUGAGAUACAGCACAGAAGAGGACCUGCCAG